AGAGUUUGAUCAUGGCUCAGAUUGAAUGCUGGCGGCAUGGCUAAAACAUGCAAGUCGAACGAACCCGCAAGGGUGAGUGGCGAAAGGGUUAGUAAUACGAUCGAAUGUACCCCGAGGUGGAGGAUAGCGGGAAGAAAUUCUCGGUAAUACUCCAUGAUGUCUUCGGACCAAAGUUUUGGCGCCUUGGGAGCAGCGAUCGUCCUAUCAGGUAGUUGGCGGGGUAAAGGCCCACCAAGCCUUAGACGGGUAGCGGGUGUGAGAGCACGGCCCGCAACAUCGGAACUGAGACACUGUCCGGGCUCCUACGGGAGGCUGCAGUAACGAAUCUUCCGCAAUGGGCGAAAGCCUGACGGAGCAAUGCCGCGUGCGGGAUGAAGUAUCUCUGGUAUGUAAACCGCUGUCAGGGGGCAGAAACAAUGAUUGCCCCCAGAGGAAGUGGCGACUAACUCUGUGCCAGCAGUCGCGGUAAUACAGAGGCCACAAGCAUUAGUCGGAAUCACUGGGCUUAAAGGGUGCGUAGGUUGUCCAUCAAGUGCUUUGUGAAAUCCCACGGCUCAACCGUGGAACAGCAGGGCAUACUGAUGGACUUGAGGCAAGUAGGGGCUGACGGAACAGUAGGUGGAGCGGUGAAAUGCGUAGAUAUCUACUGGAACGCCGAUGGUGAAGACGGUCAGCUGGGCUUGUCCUGACACUGAGGCACGAAAGCGUGGGGAGCAAACAGGAUUAGAUACCCUGGUAGUCCACGCUGUAAACGAUGCGCACUGGACCGGUGCGGUUUUGACGCCGUAUCGGUCGUAGUAAAAACGAUAAGUGCGCCGCCUGGGGAGUACGGUCGCAAGAUUAAAACUCAAAGGAAUUGACGG
rnacentral:rRNA from 1 species